rnacentral:rRNA from 1 species
CAGCAGCCGCGGUAAUACGUAGGGUGCGAGCGUUAAUCGGAAUUACUGGGCGUAAAGCGUGCGCAGGCGGCUUUGCAAGACAGAUGUGAAAUCCCCGGGCUCAACCUGGGAACUGCAUUUGUGACUGCAAGGCUAGAGUGCGGCAGAGGGAGAUGGAAUUCCGCGUGUAGCAGUGAAAUGCGUAGAUAUGCGGAGGAACACCGAUGGCGAAGGCAAUCUCCUGGGCCUGCACUGACGCUCAUGCACGAAAGCGUGGGGAGCAAACAGGAUUAGAUACCCCAGUAGUCCCUGUCUCUUAUAC